rnacentral:other from 1 species
AUAUGUCUGAAAUAUUUGUGGAGCUCUUAUUUUGAACCUACAUAACUUAAAAGGGAGUUCAAUAUUUAGAUGCAGAUUAGAUCUAUAAGACCAGUAUAAGGCAAGAACAGUGAAGCAUCUGUGAGAAUACCCACCUAUCAGAGAGAUAGGUGUCAAAAUCAGAGCAACGGUAUUUUGGAUUUUAA